GCGAGCUGGCUAACUAACUGACGGCCAUUUUGACUUAAAAGGUGUCCGUUACUCAAAGGAAAAUAAAACACUUUUAAAAAUGCAUUUUUUUUUAAAUCUUCCGAGACCAUCACGAUGCGAUGUGUGUGUAGAAUUGGACAGAUUUUUUAUGAGCUAGCGCCUGGCAACUUUCUCCAUCCUCCUCCUCAUCCACCACCACCACCGAAAUCAUGAAACUCCUUCUCAAAGGAUUCUCUGCAAAAUGUCUUUCCUGGGACAUCCACACAGAGGGGACAUGCGUUUGCUUAUGUUUUGUUUUCCCAAUAGGACAAGGAGGAAUACCCCAGGUGUCCACUAAGCCUUAUAUUAAGAAGCCCCCCAAGUUUGAGUCCAAAUCAGGUUGAAGCCACCACUGCGCGCGCUCUGCCUCGACCAUGUCCACUUGGCGGCAUGUGGACAAGGACGCCUCGGCCGCUUCCGCCAUUGUCAAGGCAAAGCUUCCAGCUCCUUGAAUAGGGCGGAGGUCAGGUCCGCCUCGGGCCCCACAUUCAGGCGAGUGCUCCAUUUUGAUGAGGAGCGAGAGGACGCCCGGGCCGAAUCUGCCACCUGUAAGUCUACGAUCUCAAACGUAGCGGAGAUCAGGUCCGCCUUGGGCUCAUCAUGCACGUUGACGAGGAGAAGGAGGACGCCUCGGCCGCCUCCAAUUUGUUGAACAAGGCGGAGGUCAGGUCCGCUUCAGGCUCCACAUCCAGGCUCCAUGUUGACGAGCGGGAGGACGCCAAAUCUGAGUCUCCCAGUUCCAAAAUGGACUUGAAGUCCCAGUCGGGCCAUUCAUGCUGGCUGAAGAAAGGUGGCAAAGGGAGCCCAGGUCCAGAGACUGCAAACACAAAUACAUAACAUCCGUCAGUCCUGAGACCACAAAGUUGAGAACGACGCCGCCGCUGCUUCCGCCGCCUCCAACUCCUCCAGUUGGCGGAACAAGGCGGAGGUCAGGUCCGCCUCGGGCCCCGCAUCCGAGCUGGAGGACGGCGACUCUGACUCCGCCAGUUCUAAAAUUGAGUCCAUCUCGGGCCCCUCAUUCGGGUUGAAUAAAGUUGCAAGCUCAGGUCCAGUCCGGGUGCACGCUGGCAUGCAUCAGGCUGAGCCGCUCCGAUUCUUGGAAGAAUGGGAGCUGCUCAGCCGGCGGCAGCGACUUCCACUGCGGACAAAAUCAAGUGUCAGCGCACACAUGCAUAAGAUCACCACGUAAACUACGAGGACGUGUUUGUUGCAAACACACUCACCUUCUGCCCCAGGAUUUUAUUCACAGCGGCGCUGUCACUGUUUUGAAAUUGGGCCUUCACGACAGGCCGCCGCUCCUUCAUAAACAGCAUGAAGGCGUUUGGGGGCUUCUUAAUGUAGGGCCUCUCCUCCUUGGGCCCUGAUGUAUUCCUCGUUCUCCCAUUGGGAAAGCAAAGCAUCAGCAUGUCGCCUCUGUGUGGAUGUGCCAGGAAAGACAUUUUACAGAGAAUACUUACUUUGUAUUUGGUGGCAAAGGACGAGGAGGAGGGAGAACUGCGCCAGACACCAACUGGUAACAGAUUUGCCCUAUUCUAGAAACACAUCAAGACACACGUGUUAAACAACAGAAGUGUGUGAAGAUGAACAUUCAAGGAGUCAUACACAUUUUACACAUUAUAUGGCACUGUAUGAUGUAUACAGUUGUGUUACUUACAUCACUCGAGCAGGACCUUGGCUGACGCUCACCAUAUGUGGUGCAUCAGCGACCUGCAAAAGCAAAAAAAUAAUAAUGGUUAGCAACCUACUUUUUAUUACUAUUUAGUAGUAACAUGUAACUAUAAUUCCUCAUAUACGACACUUAUUUGAAACACUAAACAAACUCAUCAUAACUGUAUAUUUUGACUUCUUUUACAAACCUGAUGUUUAAAUCCAUGAUCCAAAAAGUUUUUGCUUGUGCUUGAAAUAGUAAGAAACGGCAUUUAACAUGAUUUAAGAUCGGAUAAUCCUUUAUCCCCAGAGAUAACAAUAAAUACAAUUAUAAAAAUACA